rnacentral:rRNA from 1 species
AGAGCGAACGCUGGCGGCAGGCCUAACACAUGCAAGUCGAGCGCCCGUAGCAAUACGGGAGCGGCAGACGGGAUAGUAACACGUGGGAACGCGCCCUUCGGUUCGGAAUAACUCAGGGAAACUUGAGCUAAUACCGGAUACGCCCUUACGGGGAAAGAUUUAUUGCCGAAGGAACGGCCCGCGUCCGAUUAGCUAGUUGGUGAGGUAAUGGCUCACCAAGGCGACGAUCGGUAGCUGGUCUGAGAGGAUGACCAGCAUCACUGGGACUGAGACACGGCCCAGACUCCUACGGGAGGCAGCAGUGGGGAAUAUUGGACAAUGGGCGCAAGCCUGAUCCAGCCAUGCCGCGUGGAUGAUGAAGGCCUUAGGGUUGUAAAGUCCUUUUAACGGGAAGAGUAAUGACGGUACCCGUAGAAUAAGCCCCGGCUAACUUCGCGCCAGCAGCCGC